UCCGUAGGUGAACCUGCGGAAGGAUCAUUACCGAGUGAGGGCCCUCUGAGUCCAACCUCCCACCCGUGUUUAUUUACCUUAUUGCUUCGGCGGGCCCGCCUUCACUGGCCGCCGGGGGGCUCACGCCCCCGGGCCCGCGCCCGCCGAAGACACCCCGAACUCUGUCUGAAGAAUGAAGUCUGAGUGAAAAUAUAAAUUAUUUAAAACUUUCAACAACGGAUCUCUUGGUUCCGGCAUCGAUGAAGAACGCAGCGAAAUGCGAUACGUAAUGUGAAUUGCAAAUUCAGUGAAUCAUCGAGUCUUUGAACGCACAUUGCGCCCCCUGGUAUUCCGGGGGGCAUGCCUGUCCGAGCGUCAUUGCUGCCCUCAAGCCCGGCUUGUGUGUUGGGCCUCGUCCUCCGAUUCCGGGGGACGGGCCCGAAAGGCAGCGGCGGCACCGCGUCCGGUCCUCGAGCGUAUGGGGCUCUGUCACCCGCUCUGUAGGCCCGGCCGGCGCUUGCCGAUCAACCCAAAUUUUUAUCCAGGUUGACCUCGGAUCAGGUAGGGAUACCCGCUGAACUUAAGCAUAUCAAUAAGCGGAGGA
rnacentral:rRNA from 1 species